rnacentral:siRNA from 1 species
UGAUUCAUUGUUUCCGUGAUCAUC